rnacentral:rRNA from 1 species
AUACGGAGGAUCCAAGCGUUAUCCGGAAUCAUUGGGUUUAAAGGGUCCGUAGGCGGACUAUUAAGUCAGAGGUGAAAUCCCACAGCUCAACUGUGGAACUGCCUUUGAUACUGGUAGUAUUGAGUUAUAUGGAAGUAGAUAGAAUGUGUAGUGUAGCGGUGAAAUGCAUAGAUAUUACACAGAAUACCGAUUGCGAAGGCAGUCUACUACGUAUAUACUGACGCUAAGGGACGAAAGCGUGGGGAGCGAACAGGAUUAGAAACCCCAGUAGUCC